UGUCAUUUGCUCUCUCAUUCACUUGGCUUGCUCUCUCUUUCUUCCUAAAGUUACCACGUGAAGCUUUGGCCACUCUUUGCCUUUUCGGUUUGGUUUUGGUUCGCUCGAUCUCCAACACAGGCGGGAGGCAGAGGAUCCAAUAUGAGUGCCACGAUGAGUUGCAGAGGCCCCAUCCAUGUGUCAGCCGUGUUCAUUCUCGUCGUGCUCUUUGUAUCGUCGCCAGCACAAUCAGCACGUCAUCGUCUAGAGCUUCCUCUGGCUGCAAGUAGUGAAGGUGAUGAUGCGAUGGCGGUCAAUUCCACUUCCACGGCCUUAGCCUUAGAUGAUGUGGCCGGAAAGUUUGAAGUGAUAUUUUGUAUCGAAAAAAGUGUGUGACAAUAAGCCGUGCUAUUGUUGCAUGGCCGCAAAGUCAUAUUACAAUUACUGUUACCGCACAAGGGAUGCCUGCAAGUCACAAUGCAGUGC